CUGGGAUUCACACUGAGCACAUGUGUCUGCCUCGGCUUGGGCUGUUUUCUGGGAUGGACUACCUGAAAUUCAUCGCGUAUAUGAAUGAUCUCUUUCAACGCCCUGGCCUCAGAAGUAUGCAUUGACAAUGAGAAAAAGCAGAUUAUAAAGUACCUUGGAAAGUCAGAAAAUGAAUGAGAAUUGACGAGGGAAAUAUUGAUUUCCUAGGAACAACAAACACUAGGCUAGGGAAUAAUCAAGUGCAGAAACCCAGGCUCUCAGUGUUCCUUCUAGCACUUUCUCAGGAAUAAUCAAAUGCUGCACCAAAGUCACAAAUGUCUUCUGAAAAAUCCCACAAGAAAUUUGCCCAGAAAACAGUGCAGAACACAGAAAGAAGGGGAAUAUGGUACAGCCAUCACACAAAGCUGACCUUACCUGGGUCCAAAAGCAAAUGACCACGAAAACAUGCGCACAGAAAAUAAUAACAGUAUGGGUGCUACAGGGCAACUUUUAAAAAGUUUCUCUCUAAUAGAUGCAGAAAGUAAACUCAACUUGAUUUCAUGACAGAGAUUCAAAACUGUUUUAGCAAGUACAAAUCAAACAACUCAAGGCAUAAACUAUGUAUAAUCAGUGGGAGAAAGCUCACUGAUAGAUAUAUAUCAAUAUAUCUAUGAAAGCCUAGGGCAAAAUAUCACAGUGGAUCACUAUGAAAGCUCUGAAGAAUGUGGAACAGAAGGAACAUUACUGAGUCUAAUGAGGAUAAU
rnacentral:lncRNA from 1 species